rnacentral:rRNA from 1 species
AGAAAGUUUCCUUCGGGAAACGAGUAAAGCGGCGAACGGGUGCGUAACACGUGGGCAACCUGCCUUCAGGUUGGGGAUAAGCCUUCGAAAGAGGGUCUAAUACCGAAUAAUAUCAUUUCAUGGCAUCUUGAGAUAAUCAAAGGUGGCUUCGGCUACCGCCAGAAGAUGGGCCCGCGUUCCAUUAGCUUGUUGGUGAGGUAAAGGCUCACCAAGGCUGCGAUGGAUAGCCGACCUGAGAGGGUGAUCGGCCACACUGGGACUGAGAUACGGCCCAGACUCCUACGGGAGGCAGCAGUAGGGAAUUUUGCGCAAUGCCCGAAAGGGUGACGCAGCAACGCCGCGUGGGGGAUGAAGCUUCUUGGAGCGUAAACCCCUGUCAGUUGGGACGAAUUGUUUCAGCUCUAACAUAGUUGAGAUUUGACGGUACCUUCAGAGGAAGCUCCGGCCAACUCCGUGCCAGCAGCCGCGGUAACACGGGGGGAGCAAGCGUUGUUCGGAAUCACUGGGCGUAAAGGGUACGCAGGCGGGAAGACAGGUCAGAUGUGAAACCCCAAGGCUUAACCUUGGGCCUGCAUCUGAAACCAUCUUUCUUGAGUAUCGGAGAGGAAAGCGGAACUCCUGGUGUAGCGGUGAAAUGCGUAGAUAUCAGGAGGAACACCGGUGGCGAAGGCGGCUUUCUGGCCGAAUACUGACGCUCAUGUACGAAGGCCGGGGGAGCAAACAGGAUUAGAUACCCUGGUAGUCCCGGCGGUAAACGAUGGGUACUAGGUGAUGGGGGAGUCGACCCCCUCAGUGCCGAAGCUAACGCAUUAAGUACCCCGCCUGGGGAGUACGACCGCAAGGUUGAAACUCAAAGGAAUUGACGGGGGCCCGCACAAGCAGUGGAGCAUGUGGUUUAAUUCGACGCAACGCGAAGAACCUUACCUGGGCUUGAAAUGUGCAGGAAAACCUCAGAGAUGAGGUCCCUCCGCAAGGAGUCUGUACACAGGUGCUGCAUGGCUGUCGUCAGCUCGUGCCGUGAGGUGUUGGGUUAAGUCCCGCAACGAGCGCAACCCUUGCCCUUAGUUGCCAGCGAUUCGGUCGGGAACUCUAAGGGGACUGCCGGUGACAAGCCGGAGGAAGGUGGGGAUGACGUCAAGUCCUCAUGGCCCUACGUCCAGGGCUACACACGUGCUACAAUGGCCGGUACAGAGGGCUGCAAUACCGCGAGGUGGAGCCAAUCCUUAAAACCGGUCUAAGUUCGGAUCGGAGUCUGCAACUCGACUCCGUGAAGGUGGAAUUGCUAGUAAUCGCGAAUCAGCAGGUCGCGGUGAAUACGUUCCCGGGCCUUGUACACACCGCCCGUCAAGCCAUGGAAGCCGGGAGUACCCGAAGUCGCUUUGUUAACUUUCGAGAAACGAGCGCCUAAGGUAAAAUCGGUGACUGGGGCUAAGUCGUAACAAGGUA